rnacentral:rRNA from 1 species
CAGUCGCCACGGGAAUACGGAGGGAGCUAGCGUUGUUCGGAAUUACUGGGCGUAAAGCGCGCGUAGGCGGUUACUCAAGUCAGAGGUGAAAGCCCGGGGCUCAACCCCGGAACUGCCUUUGAAACUAGGUGACUAGAAUCUUGGAGAGGUCAGUGGAAUUCCGAGUGUAGAGGUGAAAUUCGUAGAUAUUCGGAAGAACACCAGUGGGGAAGGCGACUGACUGGACAAGUAUUGACGCUGAGGUGCGAAAGCGUGGGGAGCAAACAGGAUUAGAUACCCCUGUAGUCCCUGUCUCUUAUAC